GACAGAGGGUGCAAACGUUGUUCGGAAUUACUGGCGUAAAGCGUGUGUAGGCGGACUUUUAAGUCGGGGUGAAAGCCCAGGGCUCAACCCUGGAAUUGCCUUCGAUACUGAGAGUCUUGAGUUCGGAAGAGGUUUGGUGGAACUGCGAGUGUAGAGGUGAAAUUCGUAGAUAUUCGGUAGGAAACAUCAGUGGCGAAAGACGACUUCCUGGACCAGUACCGACGUUCAGGCACGAAAGCGUGGGGAGCAAACAGG
rnacentral:rRNA from 1 species